rnacentral:rRNA from 2 species
ACCCGAAACCCGGUGAUCUAGCCAUGGGCAGGUUGAAGGUUGGGUAACACUAACUGGAGGACCGAACCGACUAAUGUUGAAAAAUUAGCGGAUGACCUGUGGCUGGGGGUGAAAGGCCAAUCAAACCGGGAGAUAGCUGGUUCUCCCCGAAAGCUAUUUAGGUAGCGCCUCGUGAAUUCAUCUCCGGGGGUAGAGCACUGUUUCGGCUAGGGGGCCAUCCCGGCUUACCAACCCGAUGCAAACUGCGAAUACCGGAGAAUGUUAUCACGGGAGACACACGGCGGGUGCUAACGUCCGUCGUGAAGAGGGAAACAACCCAGACCGCCAGCUAAGGUCCCAAAGUCAUGGUUAAG